AAUAAACGAAUUUUUGAGUUUUUCUAUAGAAUUUUUGACUUUUCGUCUUAUUUGAAUUUUUUUAAGAUUAAUAUUUUUAUUACUAUCACAUGAUAAAAGAUAACUAGUACUUUACGUGUGAUUAUUUUUUUUAAUUUUUCAUAAAUUUUUUAAAUAAGACAGAUAGUCAAACGCCAAACCUAGAAAACUCAGAAAUGCUCUUUUU
rnacentral:pre_miRNA from 1 species